rnacentral:rRNA from 1 species
UACGGGGGGAGCAAGCGUUGUUCGGAAUUACUGGGCGUAAAGGGCUCGUAGGCGGCCCUCUCAGUCGGAUGUGAAAUCCCCAGGCUUAACCUGGGAACGGCAUCCGAUACUGGAGGGCUUGAAUUCGGGAGAGGGAUGCAGAAUUCCAGGUGUAGCGGUGAAAUGCGUAGAUAUCUGGAGGAAUACCGGUGGCGAAGGCGGCAUCCUGGACCGAGAUUGACGCUGAGGAGCGAAAGCUAGGGGAGCAAACGGG